GAAUUUGAUCUGGGUUCUUCUGGGGACAGCCGAGGAUCUGAAGAGACAAGGGACAGUGAGGUUUGUAAUCCCCCCGCUCGUGGUUGCUGACGUGGAGGAAGCAUUCUUGAUGAAGGCUGUUGGUGAGUAUUGGAACCAGAUGAUGUACCCAUCCACCAGUUCCCUUUAUUUGCAACUGCGGCAAAGGAAGUAUCACCUAUCAGUAUUCAGUACCAUAAAACUUGAAAUCUUUUGAAAGCUAUAAUGACGAACGCAUAUUCUGAUAUCUGACAAGAGUAAUGUCCAGGAACAAAGAAGUAUCCUCCAUAACAACCAAAUAGUGAGGUUAAAUUUCUUCAAAACGAACUUGUUACAAGACGAUUUCUUCUUGUUGAGUAGAAACAACACCCAUUCACCACCGCCAAAAGAAAACAUGUGCAUGCACACAUAAACAAUUGCAAAUAUCGGUAAGAAGAUUAGGAGCGUUUUCAAUUACAUGAAACUCAAUUGGCUUAUUGUGAUUAGGCAAGAUGCUAUGAGAAGCAUAUCAUCUAGUUUCUACAGCAUCGAUUGAAUGCUGAUACUAAUAAUAAAAAAUUCUCACAAGAGAUUAUAAUUACAAUUACUAUUCUUAUUCAGCUAGUAUCGAGGCAAAGAAAAUUCACAACAAAUGAUUCUGAUGAAGUAUUCGUCAAAAAGAACUAAUUUUUACUGAAAUUGAACAAAGUAAUACUGCCAAUCAAGCUUUCCUCUGUCCAUAACAUUAACAAUCUUAAACUAAUUUCAACUGUCAACAAGUCUCCAAUUCCCAAUUUUUCGAAACGAAAUAAUGUUCACGCCACAAGAACAUUUCACAAACACACAACUAAAAAGGCAGACCUUUACCAAUUUCCACACAGUAGAAAGCCCCAAAUUUAUUUACUUUUCACAGAAGAAAAAAAAAACCUCCUCUUCCAUUGAAUCUGCUUCUCCUGGUGAUUAAUUUGACACAAAUCCACGACUCACACAGCACAGAGAGAGAAUUACAGUAACAAAUAGUAAAUUUCAAAGGUUACUGAACCGACCCCAAGUCGAGUACUUGCCCUGUUUCAGUGCUGGGGGUUUUUCUAAAUUACUAGAUCAAGAGCAGCAAAUGAAACUAAAAGAAUUUCCCUUCAUUUUCCACCAUAUUUUCUCGGCGACCAAACAGAAGAAAGAGGAGAGAGAGAGAAGGGGAGAGAGAGAGAGAGAGAGAGCGCUUACCAGAAGAAGGCCGAGAGAAGAUUCAGCUGCUCAGGAGUCAAAAGAGACCGGACGCGGAGAGACAGAUUUGGGGAAGUUUUAUUCAUCUCUCUACCACCAAGGGAUUGUUUUCCCAUUUUGCCCUUGGCACGGGCAAUGCAGUUUUAUACCCGGACGUCAAGACUUUCAAGUUUCAAACGUUAGGGUUGGAAUUGCUUGCCUCACGCCACGUGUAAUAGUGAGGUUAAAAUGGUCAUUUUAUAAAGUUGGGCCACUUGACUUUUGUACAUGACUUUUGUACAUAGCCUAUGCAGAAUAAAAUAUAGAUUUUUGACAAAAAUAAAUAAAUGUAACGUGCUGUAGAAGCUUUUCCUUUUCCAUAUCUUAGUCAAUCUAACUACGAAAUCACUUCUACUUCAACGUUAAUUAGUAAAGUUUAUACAGUCUAGAUCAUCUGGCAAUUGGAAACUCAACGGCUUUAAAUGGCACCAUGUGUCCCUACCGUUGGAUAGAUCUGAUUGAACUGCAGUAGCAAAGUCCACCGCAGCAGCCUUGUUGGCCACUCUCCCUCAGUCGGGCGUGCGUUACAUGUGCUUGAUAGAAAAAAAUAAAAUGGGCACUGACGUCAACUUGCCCUAAGGCAAGAAGCGUAGCUUGAGAUGGCUGCGCGCUUGGGUUGGCAGUGGUUGGCCCACCACUUGCCCUUGCUUAUUUGGAAUUUUAGAGGUGUGUUUGUUUGAACUUGAGGGCAAUAUUGUUGCAUUUGUCCUUGCCUUCCACUAACUGGUAAAGAUACUCUAAAAUGCUUCUAAUUGUUACAAACUACAAACUCAAUUUAAAACACAUGAUCUCUUGCCAAUUAUUUACUUUGUAUUGAACCUAUUUUUGAGAGGUGAUUUUAUUUCGACAAAUGAUAACAAUCGCACUCCGUCAUGUACAAAUUCUCGUUUGCGUUUCUAAAAGAAGAAAUGCAGAAUAACUUUUCAAAAUGCAAAUAACAACUCCAUCCGAUUUGAUUAUGCUUAAAAAAUAAAGAUGAACAAAAAAAGGAAUAAUCACAAAAGCAUUAAUAAUCCCAUAGUUAAGAGUUGAGGCAAACAGCCUACGUCCAUAUAUCAACACUGCCACCGAAGCCUACAACUGAUAUUUGUAAGAAAAAUAGAAAAUUGCUUUAUGCUCCCUUAUUUCUUGCCAAUAGCUCCAUCAAAUGUUAUAUCCUAACAGUUAUGUCCUGCCUUUUAUGAGUCCCUACACCAAUGAAUUUUGAGAAAAAAGAGAGCAAAGGGAAAAUUGCUUUGUGCCCCUCAUUUCUGACUGCCGGCUUCAACAGGCUCAACCACCUCGGCCUCUAGCGUCUCGGGGUGGUUGUACCGAACCUCGGCCUCGAGUAUCUCGGGGUUGUGUUGUUGGGGUUCGGGCUGCUGAAUUUCGGCAGCAGGUGUGGACCAUUUCCCAGAGAGCGCCAGACUCAUCAUCUUGUAUAUCUUUCCACCCAGCUCUGCUGGAUUAUCAGGCUGCAUUCACAAGACGUGUAAGGUGAACGCGUUAGACGCCCACAGACAUCAUCAAACAAGCAUGUAAAUCAACAUUUUUGGGUGUUGGCAACAAUAAAUUCCUAGAGGGUAAUAGUUGUGUGUAGCAUUUUUGUGUCUUAACCCAACAAAUAUUGGACCCUUUAUAAUUCCUACAAGGUGAACGCAUUAGGCGCUCACAAACAUCAUCAAACAAGCAUGCAAGUCAAACAUCUUCGAGUAUUGGCUGCAAAAAAUCCUAGAGGGUAAUAGUCUUGCGUAGCAUUUUUGUGUUUCAACCCAACAAAUAUUGGAGAGCAAUUAUAAAAAGAGAGCAAGUACGAAUACUCACAGUAAAACCGCUUGACACCAAUGCUGUAUCGUACAGAAGUUCAAUAGCUCUAAUAGCAUCCUCAUCAUCCGGGUUGAUCUUGCUUGCAGCCUACAAACCAGGGUUAAAAGUGUUGUCAAACUUGCUAAAACCGUCAAGUAUUCAAAUGAUGGGAACUGGCACUUUCUUUGUGCAAACAUACAUUUAAGUUUUUAAUGAUCGGGUGCUCGGGAUUAAUCUCAAACACCCUCCUGCCUCUCAUAUACUCCAGGCUAGAGGUAUCACCAACAGUUUGUGCCUUCAUCAACCUGGAAAGGUCCAAUCAAAAGUUUAGAGGAUAACAUUCAGGGUCUAACACAUUAAUAUCUAAAAGUUAUAAAUAGCAAUUCAGAAGCCUCUUACCUCUCCAUGUUGGCAGACCAGCCAAACUUCCCUGAGACAAGAACACAAGGUGACGAGCUAAGACGGUUUGAAAUUUGAACACUGGCAACCUUGUCGCCCAAACGCUUCUUAAUCCAAUCACAUGUUUGGCCAUAUUCCUGCUUAAUCUCCUUUUCUUUUUCCUCAUUCCUAUCCCCUGCAAAAAUGUCAAUUACACAAAUCAGAUUUGUCAGCUACGUCCCUAGCAAAGGACGCAUAAAAUCAAAGAAGCAAGAACAUUAGUAACCACCCAUCCAUAGCGGAAUAGAAAUGUUCAACUUAAAAGGCUCCAAUGAACCAACCUAGAUCCAGUUCUUCCUUGCUAAUAUCAAUGAAAUUCUUCUCCUUGUAUGAUUUAAGGUUCUGGAUGGCAACCUCAUCAAUGGGAUCAACUAAGUACAACACCUACAGCAAUAGAACAACAUAAAUCAUGCAUGGAUACAUAAAACAGAAUGAAAAUGAACAUAAUCAUAUAUUAGCGUCAAGUUAAUUGAGAGACAAUACAUACUUCGAAGUCCUUCUCAAGAAGUUUCUCCAGGAAUGGUGUAUUCCUGGCACUUGUCACACUGUCUGAAGCAAUGUAAUAGAUAUCCUUCUGCUCAAGUUUCAUGUUUUCAAGAUAUUCAUCCAAGCUGAUCAUCACAUCCUCACUCUGGGAAGAGAAAAAUCUAAGCAACGGAGCAAUACGCUUAUGAUUUUCACGAUCUUCAAUGCAACCCAGUUUCAAGUGUUUGCCAAAAUUUUCCCAGAACUUUUCAUAAUCCUGCAACAAACAAAAAUAGGUGUGUUUAAAGAACAUUAAGCAAAGAUACCAUUCUCUACGCCCUAGUAGCAAGAGCAGAUGGCCUGGCAACGAUCAGGAUUCAGUCAUAUGACUCAUAUCUACAGCUAAGGAACGAAAAAGGAGACAUGCAAGAAGUGAUAAUUGCCAAGAUGCUGAAAUUUGAAUCAUAUUUCUAUAAGAAUGUAAAAAAAAAAACAAAAUAAUGAUAAGAAAACGCAACAAAAAACAUACUUCUCUGUUCUCGCUCAUGGAUAUUCCAAGGAUCAUGUCAAAGGCCUUACGAACCAAGCGCUUCCUCAUAAUCCGUACCUUCAAGUACAUCACAGAAACAAUAGUUUGUUUAACAAACUAACUAGACCUAAAGGUUAAAAAGAGAGUGAGGUGGAUGUACUCACAAUACGACUCUCCUGAAGUAUUUCACGUGAGACAUUGAGUGGAAGAUCAUUCGAGUCCACAACACCUUUGAUGAAGCUUAAAUAUCGUGGGAACUGCUCAGGCCAAUGUAAAAACAAUUAGAACCAAUAAGCAACAUUUAAGAGAACGAUGCAUUACUAUGUUGAAAAAACAUCUUUUGUGUUGUUUACCAGUUCUCCAUCAAAGUCAUCUGAAAUGAACACCCGUUUCACAUAAAGCCUUAUAUUUUUCGUCUUGGGAUUGACUAUGUCAUCCUUUCCCAUGGGAGGAACAGCUGGGACAUAGAGAAUAGACCUGAACUCUACUUCACCCUGCAAAUAGCAACCUCUUUCAGCUUAAAAGCAAAAGAAAAAUGAGAUUAAGAGUACAUAAUCAAACAAUUAGACAUUUUAUCCUAACUUCAGGGAACUAGUGCUGUCAAAAUAGCCAUUAUUAAGGAACUUCUUUAAUCGUCAAUUCUACAUAACUUUUACCCAACUCAAGAAGCACAAAUCAUGUGAUGAUACAGAAAUAUGCAGCAUUUACUUCAAAACAACAACAACAAAGCCUUUUCCCACUAAGUGGGGUCGGCUAUUUGUUGAUAAACUUUUUUUUUUUAAUGAGGGAGUAAUAGUCGUUACUACUGAAGAAAGUUGAGGUUCCACCAUAAAACCAAUUGGCCAUAUGGGGAGUAGCCCAACCUCUUCUGCGUCCAUGCAAGGUCCCUCUUCCCAUCAAUGUGGAACUCAUUCUCAACACGCCCCCUCAUGUGUGGCGAAUUUUCAAGCCUAACAUGUGGACAACAUAACAGGGUGACGUGGAGCGCGUGUGGCCGUUUGGCCUCACACGUGGGACAACCUGGCUCUGACACCAUGAAAAAAGUUGAGGUUCCACCAUAAAACCAAUUGGCUACAUGGUGAGUAGCCCAACCUCUUAUAAGCCCAUGCAAGAUCCCUCCUUCCAUCAAUGUGGAACUCAUUCUCAACAAAUACCUCAGUUGUGAAGUGCGAAGAUGCUAGUGGAUCCAAGUAUUCAUUGAAAGUUUUCUUGUAGAACUCAUUGUAAUCCUCUGUAUUGACUUCCUUAGGAUUGCGAAGCUGUACACAUCAAAUAAGAUGACGUAUGAGUUUUCCUGAUAAGUUGCUACCACAAAAGGCAAAGUAAACAUCUGAAAAGGAAACUGAUGAGGCUCACCCAUAUUGGUUGUGUCUCAUUAGUGAGAUCCCAAUCCCAAUAUUUCUCAACAACAGUCUUCGUUUUCUUCUUUUUCUGUGAAAGUUAAUUCAUUCAUUGCAUUAGUCACGAAUAGGAAUUUUCACUGAAUCUCCUACUAUGCAGAAUACAUUAGUCCAAGAUUGAUCAAGAUACUGGAUGAGUGAGAUACCUCGGUUUUCUCAUCUUGUUCAUCCGUUUUGGAUUCAGCUGGAUCUUCAUCUACCUCAACCUGAAUUGAAAGUCUCAAUAGUUUCCCAGAGAAUAUCACUUAACAAAACCCAUGACAAAAGUACAAUAGAGAAGAACCCUUACCUCUUUAGUGAAUCCUUUUUCCUUCCAAGUGUAUAUAGGAAAGGAAACAAAUUGUGAAUAGUUUUUCACAAGCUUUUCAAUUCGUUCUGGAUGAGCAAAACCUUUGUCAUCGCACUGAAAGUAUGUAGACGGACGAAGAAUUAGCUUCGAGAUCAGUCUAGUACAAAAAGGUUUAAGAAAUCACAAAGCAAGCAAAAUUUUAUUAACUGACCUUGAGAUACAAGGUGAUGCGGGUUCCUCUGGGAAUAAGCUUCUCGGGAUCAGUCUCCUCCUGAAUUGUAUAAGAGCUAGCAUUUACCUCUCCUUGCCAUACAUAUUGUUUGUCGGACUUUGGGCUCUUUGUGGAGACAACAAUCUGCAACCGAUAGGAAAUACAUAACAAUCACACAGUAGAAAAUUUUCAAUAUGCAAAGUUAUAAUAAUAAUAAUAAAAAAAAGCCAAACGGAAGUUGAAGCCACAAAGCAUAGGAGGAACUUGGGGAAUGGGAGUACUAUCCCAUCGUUAUAGCCAAUACCAAACUAAAAGUUGUUUUUCUGGUCAAGAACUUACCCGAUCUGCAACAAGGAAUGCUGAAUAAAAGCCAACACCAAACUGACCAAUCAGAUUGUUAUCACUGCCAGCAUCUUUACUAUCCUGAUAAAACAAACUUGUAAGUAUAUAAAAUAAUUCAAUCGCAGGAUCUUAAAUUCAAAUAAGACUUAGUAUACCUUCAAUGCUUUCAAGAAUUUUGAUGUUCCACUUUGUGCAAUUGUUCCCAGACAGUCAAUAAGCUCUUCCCGAGUCAUACCAAUUCCAGAAUCACUGCACACAAAAGAAAAGACCACACUGUUGAUACGAUGAACAAGAAUCAUUAAGCACAGGCAAAGACAGAAACAAGCAGAUGGCUUACAUGAUAUUGAUGAUCCCAUUGUCUUUAUCAGUCUGGAUACGGAUAUCUAGAUCACCUCCACCCUUCAAAAGAUCAGGCUGUGUGACACUGAGGAAACGAAGUUUGUCCAAUGCAUCACUUGCAUUGCUGCAAAAAGGAACAUAUUGUCAGCAUAACAUAGGCUAAACAACUUAUGACCACCCAGAAUCAAACAUAAAACUAUUUCUUGAAUGCCAAGGCAUUUUAGGGUUAGCUUAAAUGUCUUGAUUUUGACUACUUGGAUCUAAUAGAAGAAAUGGCACAAAACAAUGCGCAAUAGUGUUCUAGGAUUCAUAUAGCCGACCCCACUUAGUGAGAUAAGGCUUUGUUGUUGUUGUUGUAACACAAAUGAAAACAAGUGGCAAUAUUAGCAACACACAAGCAUAUCCAUUGAUAAAUAUUACAUAACAUCAAAUUAGCAAAAGCAUACCUAAUAAGCUCUCGAAGAAAAACUUCCUUGUUACUGUACAAGCUGUUAACGAUGAGGUCCAUGAGGCGACUGACCUGGCACCAUGAAGAAAAACAAAACUUAAUACCUAUUAAUCCUCACAAUAAAGUUCAAAAAUCCCCGAAGGUCACAUGCCAGUACCUCAGCUUGAUACUCGUACGUCUCAGCGGGAGGUGCGGCCGACGCGCAAGAGGCUGCAGCAGUGGACUCAUACCGAUUGCCGAAAUACAGGCCAUUUUUCAAGUUAAAAGUUGAGGAAUUGGUAGUGUUACACUUCCCAGGGACCAACACUGAGUGCCAUCUGACUUGCCUAUCAGUCCCUCCCACCUGCUCAAAUUUUAUAUAUCGACGUAAGCUAACACAUCCAAAAUUUGAAAACUUUAAUUGAAAUACUUCAAAACCUUAACAAGAAAUUGUUUUUAUCGAAUCGCCAAACCUUUGGAUUGAACACAAUUAAAUUGGCAGCAGCAGAACAAAAAAAAAGGAAGAAAAAAAGGCACCUUCAAACUAAAAUUAUCAAUACAACAACUGAGGGUUCACUGAGAACUAUAUUAUAAUUAAAGUUCAAAAUUAAAGAUAACCCAGUUAUAGAAGCAACAUUUUCGAUCACAAUCACUCAUACAAAUUCAGAAUUUAUUAAUAAUUUUCUCAAAUUGCGAGAACUAAUCCGUGGAGUUAGGAAGAACGCACCGAACUGCAGUGGGUAGAAGCGCAGGAGAUAGGAGCCGCUGAGUUCCGGUACCGUGCGCCGCCGUGGCGCAGGAUGGCGGAGACGGAGCGUCGUGGGAGCCUGUGCAUAUUGAUUGAGAUGGAGGGAUGAAGGCCAAGAGAUCGAGAGAGAGAGAGAGAGUGUGUGUGUGAUGAUUGUGAGUGAGUGAGAGAGAGCUGGAGAGUGGAGAGAGGAGUUAGGGUUUUAGUAGGGGUUUCUGAUGGAGUUAGGGGUUUGGGAAGCUUCUGGAGAUGAAAGGGGUAUUUUGGUAACUUUGAGUAGGUGUACUUGGGUUUGCAGAUCAGUUUGGGCCGAUCAUUUGUGGUCCAAGAUUUUCCCGUUAUAAACAAAAGGAAAAUAAAAACCUUCGAGUACGCAAAUCAUCGUGUUUUUAGGUACUUGGGUUUGCAGAUCGUUGCUUUUAAGAAUGUUUCGUUGUGUCACAAGCAAAAAUUCUUGGGUGCCUUAGAGUUCUCGGUACUUUGGAUGUUUUAACUACUAAAUCUUAAACUUUAUAUUUAAAAAAAGAUUAAUGGUUAAAACGUUCAGAGUACUCGGUACUCCAUAGCACACAAGAAAGUCUCAUGUUACUAGUAUUAAAGUUCAAUGAAAGUUCUAGGAUUCAUUCCUAUAAGUUCGAGUUUGAUACCUACCUAUUAGGGAUGGACAAAAAAAUCGAAAAAUCAGACCAAAUCGAGUGGACCAAAACUGGUCAAACCCGAACCGACUCAAUUGCUUCAUUCACAAUUUUGGCGUAUAAAAAACCGGUUCAAAUCGAACCAAACCAAAUCUAUUAAUUAACUUUUUUUUAAUAGUCAGACUGAUUGUAUGAAUUUAUCCCAAAAUCCUCUCGAUGAGUGGUUCAAUUCACUCACGCUUACAGGCACUCAUACUUUUGUCCCUCGUUUGAGUAAGCAAUAACGGUGUGGAGGACGAGAAAUUCUUGUAUAUACAUGUUGUAUUCAAUCCUCCCCUCGUUUCCUCUCAUGGUAAUUAAUUUAUUUGACGGCAAUGUGAGGGAUCGAUGUGAAAUUGGGUUGUGUUACCUAUUAGUAGCUUAAAAAUGAUAGUUAGAGGUUCAAGUUUGGCCAACAAGACAUUGUACAAUGUUUUAUAUAACUAACAAGGAAAAAUUAGUAUAUGGUACUUAGUUUCUAAUAUUCAUUGAUUAAGACCUUAUUAGUUUCUAGAUUUUGAUCAAAGUCCCUAUCAUUAAUAUAUUAAUGAAUUACAAUUUUUAUAAUAAAAAUUAGUAAUUGAUUUAGAAUUUUAAUACUCAUACCCUUAUUAAACUCCUAAUUAAUUUUCAAUUCAAACAUUUCUAAAAUAUAAAAAUAAAAUCAGAAUAAGUUUGUACCCAUUAAAUUUUUAUAAAAAAUUGAUAUGUACCCAUUUUUUUUAAUAUACCAAUUUGUCAUAUGAAAAUGUACCCAUUUUUUAAUAUAAAAUGUACCCAUUUUUUUAUAUAUAAAAUUCAUUCAAUCUUUUCUCUAAUCCAUUUUUAAAUUUAUAUGGAUACAUUUUAUUUCGUUGAUUUGAGAAUGUAUUUAUGUCAAGUUUAAUAGAAGAAAUAUAAUAAUGUUAUUAAGCCUAAUAUCUUUUUUUUUAAUGUACCCAUGUUUUGGUACAAUGAUUUUUUGGUUAGUUUUUUUAUGAACAUGCCCAUGUGUGUAUAUAUACACACACAAUAUAUUGGAGAGUAUACUUUAUCUUUAAUAUUUUAGGGGGUUUUAUUUUAAAUCUCAUUAAUAUAAAUAACUACAAAUUUCAUUUUUAAGUUAAAAAUAUAAUAGCCUACAUAGAAAUACAUUAUUAUAUUAAUGUCAGAGACUUUGAUAAAAAACUAAAAUCACAAAGAUUUCAGUCAAAGAACAUUGGUAAUUAGGGAUCGCAUCUAAAGUGUCCCAACUAACAAUGUCUGGUUUUCCUUUUUUAGUUUUUACCUUUUCUCGUUAGAGAUUGGGGAAAUGAGGAAUGAAGAAAAGUGGAGGGAGGGUGGUGUGAAGGACGGUGGUGGACUAGAGGAGGGAGAAACGAAGGAAAGUAUGAAACAAAAGCUAGCAACAAAAACAUACUAAAAUUGUUUUUUAGUUUUUCAAUUUUUAUUUGUGUACCAUUCUACGCUUAGUCCAACAAAAGCUAGAAACAAAACUUACUAAAAUUGUUUUUUAGUUUUUCAAUUUUUAUUUGUGUACCAUUCUACGCUCCUUCCUUAAUCCAACAAAAGCUAGAAACAAAAACUUACUAAAAUUGUUUUUUAGUUUUCAAUUUUUAUUUGUGCACCAUUCUACGCUCCUUCCUUAGUCCUCAUUCAUCCAUCAUCAUUCAUUGUAUGUUCCCUGAAAUAGUUAUUAAACGGCCUUUUAUAGUUUUGUUUUUGAGUUUUCGAAUUCCUAAAGAAUAACUUAUUCUAAUCUUCUGUCAAAGGCAGCAAUAAACUUUAAUCCAUAUUUAAAAUAUCCAUCAAAAUUAAGCUUCAUCACAAAGAUUGAUUAUGUAGAGAUUUCUGUUUAUUACUCUUUAAUUAUUCUCAAUUAUGUGAUUUUUAGGCCUUGAUGAAUUUUUUGUACUCAUCACCAAUCAUUAUAAACUCAAAAUAAAGAUCUGAAAAACAUAUGUGUUGACAUGCUAAUUUUGUGAACCAAAAACCAGCAAAUAAAGGGGAAAAAUGAAAGAGAAGAGCAGCUAGCAUGUUGCUCCUCCAUUCCUUCUUUUAAUUUAUUUCAUUAUUUAGAUGAAUAUAAACAUUAAUUCCGUCAUAUAAUUAGUUACAUACUCUUAAAAUAUUACACAAACAAAAUAUUACACAAACAAACUGAAGGCAGUAGGAAUUUGUCUACAGAUGAAGAGAGGUGUCAAUAAGCUCUGAGUUGUCAAAACUUUUUGCAGAAGCGCUUGCUGCGGCAGCAGCUGCUUUUGUGUUGUUAGGCCAUGAGUGUGUGGAAGAUGGCUGCAGAUUAAGCCCUAGAGAGAGUGAAUGAUCUGCAGGAGCACUUGGACAAACCGGAACGACUAUAUCGGAAUCGAAUGAGAACUUUGCAGGCUGAUGAUCAAAAUGCCUUGUUGUGCAAACAACCCUUUGAUGAUCAGUCUCAGAUAACUUCUGCAGAAGCUGCUGCUCCUCCCUCCUCUCCUUCACUUUCUCAAGCUGCCUGAACCUCUCUUGCAACAGAGCAAUGGAGGAAAGUGAAGCCACGGUUGGAUCAGAAUCAAUUUGGCUGCCCAUUGAAAAGCAGCUUUUGAGCUUUGUAGGGUUUGGUGGGUUAUUUUUUUAUUUU
rnacentral:lncRNA from 1 species